GAAUUUUGGGCAAUGGCCGAAAGGCUGACCCAGCAACGCCGCGUGGGUGAAGAAGGCCUUCGGGUCGUAAAGCCCUUUUCCGGGGGACGAUAAUGACGGUACCCCGGGAAUAAGCCCCGGCUAACUACGUGCCAGCAGCCGCGGUAAUACGUAGGGGGCGAGCGUUGCCCGGAUUUAUUGGGCGUAAAGCGCGCGCGGGCGGCCUGACAGGUCCCCUGUGAAAUCUUCGGGCUCAACCCGGAGGGGUCAGGGGAUACCGGCGGGCUAGGGCCUGGGAGGGGGAAGCGGAAUUCCCGGUGUAGUGGUGGAAUGCGUAGAUAUCGGGAGGAACACCAGUGGCGAAGGCGGCUUCCUGGACCAGUGCCGACGCUGAGGCGCGAAAGCGUGGGGAGCGAAC
rnacentral:rRNA from 1 species